UUGGGAGUUCAAGAACUGUUGCUACGCACUACCUGAACUACAGAAUAUAUAUAAGGUGGACGCAGGCUUCACGCACACCAGACGCAGAUUCUUCAUUGAGACAGUUGAACCUUCCUUCACUCGGCAUCAUGAAAGCCUUGACAAUCCUGCUGUUGGUGGCGGCCGUGGCCCUGACGGUGCUGGUGGUGGUGCAAGCCUUGCCUGAACCUGAUCCUGAAGCAUACCCCGAGGCCUACGCUCUUCCUGAUCCACGCUGGGGUCGUAGGGGAUAUGGAGGUGGAUUUGGACAUGGAGGUGGAUUUGGACAUGGAGGUGGAUUUGGACAUGGUGGACAUCAUGGUCAUGGUCGCUAUCGUGGUUAGUCCACGUGUGGUAGAAGCAGCAAAGGAGCCUUCAUCACCGUGCUGGUCACUCUUGUGUCAAUAGCGAGACAAGAUCCUCAUACGUAGGCCUCCCCAAGCAACACCGUCGUCACCGCUUCCACAGAUGCAUCUUUAUUUUCGUAUUUCCUCUUGUGCCAGGGCUACGGAAUACUGUUGUCAAAAUCUAUUGAAAUCAUCUCUUUUCAAUGACUUAUUCUUGUCUACAAAGUUUCUCACCAUGUUUGACCUUUUACGUCAGAAUAAAUAAUUGCAAGCAUA